UGCCCUGUGGUGUAACUGGCAACAUCUCGCUCUUUGAAAGCGAAGUUUCUAGGUUCGAAUCCUAGCGGGGCAG
rnacentral:tRNA from 1 species